AGUAGCCGCGGUAAUACGUAGGUGGCGAGCGUUGUCCGGAUUUAUUGGGCGUAAAGGGAGUGUAGGCGGUCUUUUAAGUCUGAUGUGAAAGCCCACGGCUCAACCGUGGAGGGUCAUUGGAAACUGGGAGACUUGAGUGCAGAAGAGGAGAGCGGAAUUCCAUGUGUAGCGGCGAAAUGCGUAGAUAUAUGGAGGAGCACCAGUGGCGAAGGCGGCUCUCUGGUCUGUAACUGACGCUGAGGCUCGAAAGCGUGGGGAGCAAACAGGAUUAGAUACCCCAGUAGUCCCUGUCUCUUAUACA
rnacentral:rRNA from 1 species